UACGUAGGGUGCAAGCGUUGUCCGGAAUUAUUGGGCGUAAAGAGCUCGUAGGCGGUUCGUCACGUCGGCUGUGAAAACCUGAGGCUCAACCUCAGGCCUGCAGUCGAUACGGGCGGACUCGAGUUCGGCAGGGGAGACUGGAAUUCCUGGUGUAGCGGUGAAAUGCGCAGAUAUCAGGAGGAACACCGGUGGCGAAGGCGGCUCACUGGCCCGGUACUGACGCUGAGGUGCGAAAGCGUGGGGAGCAAACAGG
rnacentral:rRNA from 1 species